AACGAACGCUGGCGGCAGGCUUAACACGUGCAAGUCGAACGGGUGUAGCAAUACAUCAGUGGCAGACGGGUGAGUAACACGUGGGAACCUUCCUUAAGGUACGGGACAACUCAGGGAAACUUGAGCUAAUACCGUAUACGUCCGAGAGGAGAAAGAUUUAUCGCCUUUAGACGGGCCCGCGUCGGAUUAGCUAGUUGGUGGGGUAACGGCCUACCAAGGCGACGAUCCGUAGCUGAUCUGAGAGGANGAUCAGCCACACUGGGACUGAGACACGGCCCAGACUCCUACGGGAGGCAGCAGUGGGGAAUCUUGGACAAUGGGCGCAAGCCUGAUCCAGCCAUGCCGCGUGAGUGAAGAAGGCCUUAGGGUUGUAAAGCUCUUUUACCAGGGACGAUAAUGACGGUA
rnacentral:rRNA from 1 species